rnacentral:miRNA from 1 species
UCUGUUGCCUGAAUAUAGUCA